rnacentral:rRNA from 1 species
AUUGAACGCUGGCGGCAUGCCUUACACAUGCAAGUCGAACGGUAACGCGGGGCAACCUGGCGACGAGUGGCGAACGGGUGAGUAAUGCAUCGGAACGUGCCCAGUAGUGGGGGAUAGCCCGGCGAAAGCCGGAUUCAUACCGCAUACGACCUAUGGGUGCAAGCGGGGGACCGUAAGGCCUCGCGCUAUUGGAGCCGCCGAUGUCAGAUUAGGUUGUUGGUGGGGUAAAAGCCCACCAAGCCGACGAUCUGUAGCUGGUCUGAGAGGACGACCAGCCACACUGGGACUGAGACACGGCCCAGACUCCUAAGGGAGGCAGCAGUGGGGAAUUUUGGACAAUGGGGGCAACCCUGAUCCAGCCAUGCCGCGUGCGGGAAGAAGGCCUUCGGGUUGUAAACCGCUUUUGUCAGGGAAGAAACGCGCUGGGCUAACACCUCGGCGUAAUGACGGUACCUGAAGAAUAAGCACCGGCUAACUACGUGCCAGCCGCCGCCGUAAUAC